rnacentral:rRNA from 1 species
UAUUGGACAAUGGGCGAAAGCCUGAUCCAGCAAUACCGCGUGUGUGAAGAAGGCCUUAGGGUUGUAAAGCACUUUCAAUUGGGAGGAAAACCUGCCGGUCAAUACCCGGUAGAUUGACAUUACCUUUAGAAGAAGCACCGGCUAACUCCGUGCCAGCAGCCGCGGUAAUACGGAGGGUGCGAGCGUUAAUCGGAAUUACUGGGCGUAAAGCGUGCGUAGGCGGUUCGUUAAGUCAGAUGUGAAAGCCCUGGGCUCAACCUGGGAACUGCAUUUGAAACUGGCGGACUAGAGUUUAGUAGAGGGGAGUGGAAUUUCAGGUGUAGCGGUGAAAUGCGUAGAUAUCUGAAGGAACACCAGUGGCGAAGGCGACUCCCUGGACUAGAACUGACGCUGAGGACGAAA